GAUGAACGCUGGCGGCGUGCCUAAUACAUGCAAGUCGAGCGAACAGACGAGGAGCUUGCUCCUCUGACGUUAGCGGCGGACGGGUGAGUAACACGUGGAUAACCUACCUAUAAGACUGGGAUAACUUCGGGAAACCGGAGCUAAUACCGGAUAAUAUAUUGAACCGCAUGGUUCAAUAGUGAAAGACGGUUUUGCUGUCACUUAUAGAUGGAUCCGCGCCGCAUUAGCUAGUUGGUAAGGUCACGGCUUACCAAGGCAACGAUGCGUAGCCGACCUGAGAGGGUGAUCGGCCGCACUGGAACGGGAACACGGUCCAGACUCCUACGGGAGGCAGCAGUAGGGAAUCUUCCGCAAUAGGCGAAAGCCUGACGGAGCAACGCCGCGUGAGUGAUGAAGGUCUUCGGAUCGUAAAACUCUGUUAUUAGGGAAGAACAAAUGUGUAAGUAACUAUGCACGUCUUGACGGUACCUAAUCAGAAAGCCACGGCUAACUACGUG
rnacentral:rRNA from 1 species